AGUAGAGCUUUCAAAAAGAAUCACAGCUGGGCAUGGUAGUGUGUGCCCUUAGUCCCAGCUACUUGGAAGGCUGAGGCAGGAGGAUCCCUUGAUCCUAGAAGUUUGAGGCUAUAGUGCACAAUAAUCACAUCUGUGAAUUGCCAUUGUAUUCCAACCUGGGCAAUAUAGUGAGACUCUCUCUCUCAAAAAAAGAAAAAAAAGUCAUAAUAGUUGAUUUUUUUUUUUUUUUGAGAUGGAGUCUCACUCUGUUGCCCAGGCUGGCGUGCAGUGGCGCGAUCUUGGCUCACUGCAACUUCCGCCUCCCGGGUUCAAGCAAUUCUUCUGCCUCAGGCUCCUGAGUAGCUGGGACUACAGGUGUGCGCCACCAUGCCUGGCUAAUUUUUGUAUUAUUAGUAGAGACAGGGUUUCGCCAUGUUGGCCAGGCUGGUCUCGAACUCCUGAGGUCGUGAUUCACCUGCCUCAGCCUCUCAAAGUGCUGGGAUUAUAGGCGUGAGCCACUGCGCCCAGCCAAAAAUUGAUGAUUAUAUGUGAUUUAGAUUGUUUUAGAGUGAAUAAAAAAUGUAAACUCAGUUUUCCAAGUAUUUCAGGGCAUUUUUUUUUUUUUUGAGACAGGGUCUCACUCUGUCCCCCAGGCUGGAGUGCAAUGGCAUAAUCACAGCUCACUGCAGCCUAAACCUGGGCUCAAGUGAUCCUUCCACUUCAACCUCCUGGGUAGCUGGGACUAUAGGCAUACACCACCACGUCCAGCUAAUUUUUUGAUUAGCCGAGGCCUCACUUUGUUGUCCAGGCUGGUCUCAAACUCCUGGGCUCAAGCAAUCCUCCUGCCUCGGCCUCCCAAAGUGUUAGAAUUACAGGCCUGAGCAGCUGCGCCCGGACCAACUUUUAUCAUAGUGAAUAAUUAUAGGAAUUAUCUGAAGAGACUGCUCACUUAGAGACGAGGUUUCACCGUGUUAGCCAGGAUAGUCUCGAUCUCCCGACGUCGUGAUCCGCCCGCCUCGGCCUCCCAAAGUGCUGGGAUUACAGGCGUGAGCCACUAGAAUUUAUAUUUUAAUAAGUUCCCGAAGUGACUUAUAUGCACAUUAAAGAUUGAGAAGCCAUGCAUUACAGGAUUUGAUGAAGCAAACACAUUUUGAGUUUCUCAGCUGAGCCAAAGGAAAUCAAGAAAUCUCCUGGAAUCAAGGAAAUCAAGGAAUCAAUUACUUACACCAAGCUGAGCAAGAGACAACAUGAAGGCAGAGGUAGCAGUAAUCAGACAGGAUUUCCAAGGGUCUCACUCUGUGGCACAAUGAUCAUGGUUCACUGCAGCCUCGGCCUUCUGAGCUCAAGUGAUCCUCCCGCCUCUGCCUCCGCCUCCUGAGUAGCUGGGACUACAGAUGUGCGACACAGCACCUGGCAAAUUUUUAAGUAUUUUCUUCAGACUGAAACAUCAUUGUGUUAAAGAUAAAAAAGUAAAAAAUAUUCUUGUAGAGAUAGGAUCUCACUGUUGUCCAGAUUGGUCUCAAAUUUUUGAGCUCAAGCCAUCCUCCUGCCUUGGCCUCCCAAAGUGCUGGCAUUACAGGGUGA
rnacentral:lncRNA from 1 species